rnacentral:rRNA from 1 species
AUUGAACGCUGGCGGCAGGCCUAACACAUGCAAGUCGAACGAGUGGCGGACGGGUGAGUGAUGGAUUGGCACCUGCCUGAUGUAAGGGGAUAACUACUGUAAACGGUAGCUAAUACCGCAUAACCGCGUAUGUGCCCAGAUGGGAUUGGCUAGUGGGUGGGGUAAAGGCUCACCUAGGCGACGAUCCCUAGCUGGUCUGAGAGGAUGACCAGCCACACUGGAACUGAGACACGGUCCAGACUCCUACGGGAGGCAGCAGUGGGGAAUAUUGCACAAUGGGCGCAAGCCUGACGCAGCCAUGCCGCGUGUAUGAAGAAGGUCUUCGGGUUGUAAAGUACUUUCAGCGGGGAGGCGUUACCCGAAGAAGAAGCACCGGCUAACGCCGUGCCAGCAGCCGCGGUAAUUC